CACUCCGGUGGCCUAUUAGUAGAGCUUCCACCUCCAAUGCGGAAGGUCGCGGGUUCAAACCCCGGGCGAGUCA